rnacentral:lncRNA from 1 species
UAAAGUUUACCUUGUUUUUGAAGUCAAUUUUGGUACACAAGGCCUGGGACACGGGUUUCCACACGGCCGUGUGUCUUAAUAUUUUUAGGUGCAAUUUUCUCACAGUUUGGCACAUGUACAAGGCCCGUGACACGACUGUGUGUCCUAAAAUAGUUUGUUACACAAUUUGGGACACGACCAGUGACACAACUAUGUGACCCAACAUCAAAUGCACACAUAGUUAGGCACACGGCCUACGACAAGGUUGUGUGGCCUUAAUUUGAAUAUAC